CCCUUUUCUCGACGAUCAUUUUAGAAUGA
rnacentral:sRNA from 1 species